rnacentral:rRNA from 1 species
CGUAGGGUGCGAGCGUUAAUCGGAAUUACUGGGCGUAAAGCGUGCGCAGGCGGUUUGUUAAGAUAGGCGUGAAAUCCCCGGGCUCAACCUGGGAACUGCGCUUAUGACUGGCAAGCUAGAGUACGGCAGAGGGGGGUGGAAUUCCACGUGUAGCAGUGAAAUGCGUAGAGAUGUGGAGGAACACCAAUGGCGAAGGCAGCCCCCUGGGUCGAUACUGACGCUCAUGCACGAAAGCGUGGGUAGCAAACAGGAUUAGAUACCCUGGUAGUCCACGCCCUAAACGAUGUCAACUAGGUGUUGGAUGGGUAAAACCAUUUAGUACCGGAGCUAACGCGUGAAGUUGACCGCCGUGGGGAGUACGGCCGCAAGGUUA